rnacentral:rRNA from 1 species
GACGAACGCUGGCGGCGUGCUUAACACAUGCAAGUCGAACGGAAAGGCCCUGCUUUUGUGGGGUGCUCGAGGGGCGAAGGGGGGAGUAACACGUGAGUAACCUGCCCUUGAUUUUGGGAGAACUUCAGGAAACUGGGGCUAAUACCGGAUAGGAGCUCCUGCUGCAUGGAGGGGGUUGGAAAGUCGCGGCGGGUGGGGAUGGACUCGCGGCUUAUCAGCUUGUUGGUGGGGUAGGGGCUUACCAAGGCUUUGACGGGUAGCCGGCCUGAGAGGGUGACCGGCCACAUUGGGACUGAGAUACGGCCCAGACUCCUACGGGAGGCAGCAGUGGGGAAUAUUGCACAAUGGGCGGAAGCCUGAUGCAGCAACGCCGCGUGCGGGAUGACGGCCUUCGGGUUGUAAACCGCUUUCGCCUGUGACGAAGCGUGAGUGACGGUAAUGGGUAAAGAAGCACCGGCUAACUACGUG